GUCGAAGCGGUAACACUUCGGGUGACGAGCGGCGGAUGGCAGAGUAACGCGUAGGAACGUACCCCAAACUGAGGGAUAAGCACCGGAAACGGUGUCUAAUACCGCAUAUUAUCUUCGGAUCAAAGCUUCGGCGGUUUGGGAGCGGCCUGCGUAUGAUUAGCUUGUUGGUGAGGUAAUGGCUCACCAAGGCGACGAUCAUUAGCUGGUCUGAGAGGAUGAUCAGCCUGACUGGGACUGAGACACGGCCCAGACUCCUACGGGAGGCAGCAGUAGGGAAUUUUCCGCAAUGGGCGAAAGCCUGACGGAGCAACGCCGCGUGCAGGAGGAAUGCCUUCGGGUUGUAAACUGCUUUUAACGGGGACGAUUAUGACGGUACCCGUAGAAUAAGGAUUGGCUAAUUCCGUGCCAGCAGCCGCGGUCAUACGGAAGAUCCGAGCGUUAUCCGGAAUUACUGGGCGUAAAGAGUUGCGUAGGUGGCAGGUAAAGCGAACAGUGAAAGGUCCCGGCUCAACCGGGGAUACAUUGUUCGAACUCACCAGCUAGAGCACAGUAGAGGUACCUGGAAUUCCUAGUGUAGGAGUGAAAUCCGUAGAUAUUAGGAGGAACACCGAUGGCGUAGGCAGGGUACUGGGCUGUUGCUGACACUAAGGCACGAAAGCGUGGGGAGCGAACGGGAUUAGAUACCCCGGUAGUCCACGCCGUAAACUAUGCUUGCUAGCUGUUAUCAGUAUCGACCCUGGUAGUAGCGAAGCUAACGCGUUAAGCAAGCCGCCUGUGGAGUACGAGCGCAAGCUUAAAACAUAAAGGAAUUGACGGGGACCCGCACAAGCGGUGGAGCGUGUUGUUUAAUUCGACGGUAAACGAAGAACCUUACCCAGGCUUGACAUCCUGCCAAGCUUUCCGAAAGGAAAGUGUGCCUUC
rnacentral:rRNA from 1 species